AGUCGUAACAAGGUUUCCGUAGGUGAACCUGCGGAAGGAUCAUUAACGUGCUUCAAAACCAAAAAAAUCGACCGUGAACCUAAAAACCCCCUUACGUUUACAAGUUGUGAGUGUGUGUUUUGUAUAUAUGUUGGUGUAAUAGCCAACAUAUAUGCACACAUGCCCAUAACCCACAACAUUCACCGAUAUUACAAAACCCAUUUUCGACUAAUUGAUUAAGUUGUUCAUCUUAUUUGUUGAACUUCUUGAAAAAGAAAAACAAAAAAUGACGACUUUCAACGGCGGAUCUCUGGGCUCGU
rnacentral:misc_RNA from 1 species